rfam:Ascaris suum AG03752, whole genome shotgun sequence.
GAGUCCGUGGCGCAAUGGCAGCGCGUCUGAGUCCAGAUCAGAAGGCUCCGUGUUCAAAUCACGUCACGGUCA